rnacentral:rRNA from 1 species
AAACGUAGGAGGCGAACGUUAUCCGGAUUUACUGGGCGUAAAGCGCGCGCAGGCGGCUUCGUAAGUCCGACGUGAAAGCUCCCGGCUCAACUGGGAGAGGUCGUCGGAUACUGCGGAGCUUGAGGGUAGGAGAGGGAAGUGGAAUUCCCGGUGUAGCGGUGGAAUGCGUAGAUAUCGGGAGGAACUCCAGUGGCGAAGGCGACUUCCUGGCCUACAUCUGACGCUGAGGCGCGAAAGCGUGGGGAGCGAACAGGAUUAGAAACCCUAGUAGUCC